GGGCACAUUCCGAAUUCCCGUACGAUGGGACCCUGCGAGUCUCGAGUCCUCCCCUUCCCAUACUUUCUCCGGCGGCCUUCUCCUUGACGGAAACCAUGGAAACUCACCUUGAGCGUUCCCACGUCUACGGACGGUGGAGAUCCGAUCCCUCAUCCACUUCCCUACCGCCGUCUCCUAUUUUCUUCUGCUAUCCACUUCUCUCGCGGGUGAUCAUGUAAGCCAACAAGAACAGAGCCGAUAGUGCGGAUCAAGAGGAAGAGGCAAGGAGUCUUCCGAUUCCUUUUCUUUUAAAAUCUCAAAUUCAAAUUUAUUUAUUUUUGAAAGGUUUUUCGCUGGCAUUAUGGUUGAUCCUAAACUUUUAUCCUUUUCAGAUUUUUGGCUGGUAUUCAUCUUUAUUUCUUUUUAAUGGAUGGGAGCUUGGGAGGUGAUGAUAACUAGGUUGUGGCAGAUGGAUUUCUUUAAUUUGCAGAGUGUACCAUCGUUUUUCUCCACACAGCUAGUCAUCGUUGCAUUUUUAACCUUGUUGCCAAUUCGAGGGCGAUUGCUGGUUGAAUCAUUGGAUAGGUCUAAAUUCAUUUAGGGCAGGAGAUAAUUGGAAUCUUAUCAUUAAUAUGGUUUAUAUGCAAUUUUUCUGUGAAGAUUAUGUGCUUUGCUAUCUUUUUUGGUAUUUCAGCUUUCUAUAUGACUUGCAGAAAAUUACUUUUGGGGUUUAACAUUAAAGUGUUAUUCUCUUCAACAUAGGAUCUUAGUGAUGGAAUACCCGUAAUUGUUCAGUUGAAAUUUGUUUCAUUCCAUUAAUUAAGCUUUUAUGUGUUUUGUAAAAUUUUUUAUUUUGGACUAAACUAUUUGCAGGUAGGUUGUUAUAUGAUUGGGUUUCACAUCAAAACGUACUAAGCUAUGUCUGCCAAUUGGACAAAAGGAAGAUAUAUUAACAGUAGAUAUGUUAUUUUUUCUUUUUAGAAAAACUUCUUACCACCCAGUCAUAAUUAUUCACCAUAUAAUUUAACUGCUUUUGUAAAUGUUUCUCUUUUGUAAUGCACUCUUAACUGAUUUGUGGUGGGCUACUACCUAUGCAGGAAUAGGGCUUGUCAAAACUUCAAGCAAGCACUCUGUUAUCAGGCUGAUUUUUAUGUUUUUUUCUUUUAGUGCUGCUGGAGAUGAUCUUUUUUUGAUAAGUAGGGGAGGCUGGAAUAGAUCAGCCACCCAUUUUUAUUAAGAAAAGAAGGAUAUUUACAAAAGAGCUGAUUGUGUUUAAGAUUACACACCGCUGAAAAAACACAUUUUAACAACCUAAACAGAAAACAAGGAUAUCAUCCCAAAGCAUAGAAAGUAGCACUCUAACAGACCACAGAUGCGAAUGAUUAGUAACAAAAGUUGACGCAGAUUUCUUUAGGAGAGAAAACUAACAAGGGGACUCAUAGUUGCACUAUGGGAUGAACCAAUGAUUUUAAACUCUUCCAUAAGUUAGCAUGCCCCUCUGAUGUCUUCAUCGAACAGAGAUGCCCCCAACUGUAGAAUCUUUGCAGUAUUUUCUGAAGCACCAUAUAGAUUGAACAUUUCUUUCUCAAAAACAUACGUGCAUUUCUCUCAUGCCAAAUUUCUCAACGCAAAGACGCCACUAGUUGAUCCAUUGCUCUCCUGACUGAAGCAUCAAUCUGCCUUUGCCUCUAAUCUGUCCAAAGAUCAUCUAAUGUAGCAGACCAUCCUCUAAUAUUAAAGCUGAAUCUUUAGUGUCAUCCAAAUACUCCGAGCAAAAGGGUAUUUAAUUAAAAGAUGGAAGAUGGAUUCCAAAUUAGCACUACAUAGAGUACAUCCAGAAUUAACAUGCCAUCCUUUCUUAUUAAUAACUUCUCCCGUGUGAAGCUUGUUUCGAAGAACUAGCCAAAGAAAAAUUCUUAUCUUUUCUGGAAUGGCAGCUUUCCAAAUAACUCUAAAAAUAGGGGCAGAUAAGACCACCAUUGUUGAUAAAUCUAUAGAAGGACUCUACAAAAUAUAAGUCAUUUUUAAUGAGUUUUCAAGUGGGCGUAUCAGCUAGCCGUGAUGCUCUAAUACGUGCAAGGCUACUCUGAAGCAUCUCAAGCUGCCGUGAUUAAACCAAAGUAACCAGCCCUCUAAUCUUAAUCUUCCAAGUCAGACAUCUUCGAGACCAUUGGGAAGCCAUUGUACAAAUUCGGUCCACUGCCAACGGAAAUAGAUCCUCAAAUAGAUAGGCAAUAGUAGUUGCUCCACACUAUAUAUCUUGCCAGAAUCGAAUUGUUGAUCCAUUAUCCAGCUUAAAAGAGACACGAGUCUAGAAGGCAAUAAGCUGUUUGCAAAUAUCUCGACAAAUCGUAGACAUCCUCUUGUUACUUCUUUUCACUCUCAUACCAAACGUUUUCUUUACAUAAUAAGCAUGCUUAACUUGCUUCCACCAAGGACAAUCCGGACCCACUGUGAACUUCUAUGUCCAUUUGGCAAGGAGUGCAUUGUUCAUCUACUCGAUGUUUUUGAUUCCUAACCCAUCUUGUUCUUUGGUCCUGCACACGCUAUCUCAGUUCACCAAACAAUAGAAUCUACUGAUUUUCUCUUUACCUUUUCAUAGAAAUGCUUGGUGCAUCUGAUUAAUCCUAUGCAGCAUCCACUUGGGAAGUUUGAACAUAGACAUAUAGUAGGAAGAAAGAGCAGACAAUAUAGAGUUAAUGAGGGUCACCCUACAUCCCCAUGAGAGAUGUUUUCUUUCUCAAUUUGCAAAUCUCUUGUUGAUUCUCUUCAGAAGUGGAAGCCAACAGAGCUUCGACAAUUUGUGAUCACUAAGUGGGAGGCCGAGAUAAGUGAAGGGGAAUGACCCUUUCCUACAGUUCAUCAUAUUUGCAAAUAGUGAGGCAUCCUUAUCAAGUAUAUUCAUACACACAAGAGGAUUUUUAUGAAAGUUAAUUCUCAAUUGUGAUGCAGCUUCAAAGGCUAAUAGAAUAGCUUUCACUGCCAUCAAGCUUUCUUUUUCACCUGCACAAAAUAGGAGGGUGUCAUCCGCAAAUUGUUGGCCUUUAAUGCCCCUAAGCGCACAAUUUGAACCAAUGCCUUCAAUUAGACUAAAGGAACCUGCCUUCUUAAGCAGCCUAGAGAGGACAUCAGUUGUCAGUAUAAAAAGAGCUGGAGAUAAUGGGUCACCUUGUCGUAGGCCUUGCUUGCAUCAAAUCCAAGAGCUUGGCUAUCCAUUCAUCAGGAUAACAACUGAAGUUGAAGCUAAUAGGCUAUAAAUCCAACCCAUCCAUUUCAAAGGAAAAUCUCUAGCUUGGAGAACUGAGAGUAGAAACUUCCAACUUACUUUGUUAAAAGCUUUCUCAAAAUCUAAUUUACACAGCACCCAUCUUUGGCCUAUCCUUUUACAAUAGGAAAUCAUCUCACGAGCACUCAAAAAGUUUUCAACAAUGGAUCUACCUUUUUAUAAAGACUGACUGACAAUCAUCGAUAAGGAGAGGGAGGAACUUGGCCAGUCUAUGAGAGAGCACUUUGGUAAUAAUCUUGUAUAAACUAUUUAACAAAUUGAUAGGAUGAAAAUCACGUGCACAGAGAUUACCUUUCUUUUUCGGGAUGAGAGUGAUAUAAGUAUAAUUUAGUCUCUCAAGGUCCAAAGUGUCUUUGUGAAAUUCCUCAAACAACAUCAAAAGAUCAUCACUAAUCAUGUUUCAAAAUUUUUUGAAGAAAAUAAAGGUGACGCCAUCAGGUCCUGGAGCCUUCAAGUCUCCAAAAGAAAGAAACUGCUUUUUUGAUCUCAUCAAAAGAGAAGGCCUCAUUUAGACUACAUAGAUCCAUCAUAGAGCUGCUGCCAGUUAAAGGAGAUAUGAGGUUUUGAAGAACACCCAAAUAGAUUUUUGAAGAACUCAUAGAGUUUCCUAGAGAUGUCCUCUUGAUUAUGAAGCUCCACACCAUGGUCAACAAGAGUGCCAAUAAAAUUUCUGCGCUUCCUUCCAGAGGCCACCUUAUGAAAGAAAGAGGUGUUGCGAUCACCCUCUUUCAACUAUGUGAUUUUUGCACGUUGUCUACAAUAUCAUCUUAUAAUAUUUAUGCCUUUGCAAAUCUGAUUGUAAACUAUAGGUUUUAGUAGCUACUGUUAGUUAACUACCCAGAGAUGGGCUGCUGACAUGCAACUGAAGUUCUUCUAAAGUUGUCUAAGUUUAUUAUUGCUGUCAUUCUCUAGCACUACAUGUUUUUAAAUGAUCAUGUAAACAAUCAUUCUGUUUGUGAAUUUUUUAAUAAUAUUUGCAGGACUGAUUGAAAAGAGGAGGUUACAAAGGUCAAAGAAGCUCGAUAUUGAAAAAGUAACUGAGGCAGUCAGAACUUGUUUCACCAGACAUACGUCUUGUAAAUGAUGAACUGUUUCAUCCUUCAGUACCUUCCGAGCUUAACAAGAAUUUGAAACAAAACUGCUUGAUUUAACCUGAAACCGAAAAAAAUAUAUAAGAACAACCCACACGUAAAAUAAAAAGCAAAGAGUAGGAUCCAUAAAACUCUGGAUUUUGUAUAUCAAGUGAUGUUACAGGCAAUCUUCAGUUUCUUCUAGCAUCUCCACCCAGAUUAUUGCUACAAUUCACUGAGUUGAUGACUUCAUGUUGCUUAUUGGUUCUUGCUUUCAUAACAAAUUUACUGCUUUGCAGAAAAUAACAUAUAUGUUCCCAAUAUCGGGGUUUUGGUUGCAGAAAAUGUUGAGCACAGUCUAGGUCAAAAUAUAUUGGCAUCUAGUUUCUCUUGAUUCAAUUUGAGGGUGGUUGUAGCCACAUAUAUUUAUGAAAUUAAGUUUGACCAAGAAAAUUAGAAAAAUAGAGGUGUAUUGAAAAAUGCAGAAAACUUGAGCAUAUAAACUGCUAACUUAAAUAAAAUGUCUAGUCUGCUAUCUUUUUAAUUGUAUAUUACAUUAAAAUGAUAUAUCUAUGUUAUCAUGAUGUAACAAUACCAUGUAGACAUUCAUAAGGAUACUCAUCAGAAGCAGGAGCACGUUUGGAUGUUGUGCUCUAAUAUAAGGAUAUUAAGAACACUUAUGAAGUCAUGUAUAUUAGUAUCCCUAACUUUAGGCCAAUUUUCUUUCAUGUUUUUGACAUGAUAAAAGCAGUUUUGUCUGUUCUGGAAGAAAAAAUUCUGAUUUGGUAAUAAAAGAUGCUGAAUUGGAGCUGGAAGAGGUUUGUACUCAUUUCUUUUUCUUGGCUUGUUUUUCUGGGUUAUAAAACAUCAGAAUAUGAAAGCUUGUCAUCACAGAUUAUUUUUUCAUUUCAUGCUUAUUUUUCCAUUUGUGCUUUAUUCGUAUAUGAAAUAACUUAUGGAAUUAUUCUCUUUGACAA